rnacentral:tRNA from 1 species
GGGGUAGCGGUAACGUUGGAGAGUUACGGUGGACUGUAAAUCCACUGCCAUCGGCUUAGUAGGUUCGAAUCCUAUCUGCCCCA